rnacentral:rRNA from 1 species
UGGGGAAUCUUGCACAAUGGGGGCAACCCUGAUGCAGCGACGCCGCGUGAGUGAUGAAGCCCUUCGGGGUGUAAAGCUCUUUCGGCAGGAACGAUAAUGACGGUACCUGAAGAAGAAGCUGCGGCUAACUACGUGCCAGCAGCCGCGGUAAUACGUAGGCAGCGAGCGUUGUUCGGAAUUACUGGGCGUAAAGAGUGUGUAGGCGGUUUUCCAAGUUUGGUGUGAAAUCUCCCGGCUUAACUGGGAGGGUGCGCCGAAAACUGGGAGGCUUGAGUAUGGGAGAGGGAAGCGGAAUUCCUGGUGUAGCGGUGAAAUGCGUAGAUAUCAGGAGGAACACCUGUGGUGUAGGCGGCUUCCUGGACCAUUACUGACGCUGAGACACGAAAGCGUGGGGAGCAAACAGGAUUAGAUACCCUGGUAGUCCACGCCCUAAACGAUGCAUACUUGGUGUGAGCCAUUCAGUUGGUUCGUGCCGGAGCUAACGCGUUAAGUAUC